CAGCCGCCACGGGAAUACGAAGGGGGCUAGCGUUGUUCGGAUUUACUGGGCGUAAAGGGUGCGUAGGCGGACUGAUAAGUCAGGGGUGAAAUCCCAAGGCUCAACCUUGGAACUGCCUUUGAUACUGUUAGUCUUGAGUUCGAGAGAGGUGAGUGGAACUGCGAGUGUAGAGGUGAAAUUCGUAAAUAUUCGCAAGAACACCAGUGGCGAAGGCGGCUCACUGGCUCGAAACUGACGCUGAGGCACGAAAGCGUGGGGAGCGAACAGGAUUAGAUACCCCGGUAGUCCCUGUCUCUUAUAC
rnacentral:rRNA from 1 species